CAGCUGUACCACCGAGAGGAGUUAUCAGCUCUAACUGUCCUUCACCUCCCUCCCUGCUGGAAGGGACUGGUCCCUUUGAUCUGCUGACAGAGCCAUUGCAGCGAUUCUUUUAAAGUGACAUCGGUUAGCUUAAACAGUUGUUUUUUUGCUAACUUGGCUCUUUUAGACUGAAAGGAAUUAGGGAGCUUGCUAGCCUCCUUCCCUAGCUCAGCUGUUUAUGGGCUGCACACAUGUUGGCACAGUUGGGGAGCCUGUUUCUCUCUCAGGUGAACUGGCAGAUGAGCUCCUGAGCUGUACAUCCUUCCUCGGCCCCUUUCUAGCAAGGACCUGCUCUUGCAUUUGAGGCCAGCAGUGGAGCUUUCCUUGAACGCAGCCCUGUUACAAACCAGCACAGUGGAGUAUCAACUCAGGCUCUGGCAGCUACAGCAUCUCAGCCCAUCACAGCUUUGCAAUUUCCAGCUGAAAUUUUGUUCUCAUUUUGUUGCUAUUUACAGUUUGCAAUGUGAAAUAUAACACAGCUGAUGUGAAUUUUCUUUGCUUUGUUGUAAAUUAGACAUAUAGUCAGGUUGUGGUGAUGAUUGCAGUAGCAUGUAUUUUUUUUUUCUGUUUAGGUUGGAUUUACGCUGGCCUAUCAAGUCUUUGGCUUGGUUGGUGACGUCGUUUCUUUCCUCUACGUUCAAAGCCUUCGCCUUAAGGACUUUUCUUUAAUUAUGGGAUUCUAUUUCAGAAAAUGAAAACAGUUUUAAGAAUAAUUCCCAGUGCAAAUCUCUUGCAUCUGGCUAGUUACAAUGUUCAGACUGGACUUUAUCCCUUUCUGAUUAUCUGUUUUCCAGGGUAAAAUGGAUCAACUGUGUAGCUGAGGGAAAUCUUGAUCAAUUUGGUAAGAAAUGCCCAUAGUGCCUAUGGUGAUUUGCAAUGGUCUUAAGUAUAGAAGACAGAGCAGCUGACUGAAAUUCACAGGGAGAAAAGUGACAUAGCUGUUAUCCUGCAAGUGAGACCAACCCAUAAGAGAGAAGUAGUAAUAAUUUUUGCCCACACAUUUCCCAUAAUUUGACCUACAUGUUUAGAAGAAAAUCCUGAAAUCCUUUGUUGAUCAAUUGUUUCUUCAAGCUUUUAUAUUUUCCUUGACAUCUUGGCUUACUCAGUAGGCCUGCCUUGUGAAUGAGUUCAUUAAGGACUGUGGUAUCUCGACAUCAGAGUGCUGUUAAAUGUACCUGAGGAUAUCAUAUGGGAAAUGAAAUGUUUUCUUGAAAGUUUGUUCCAAAAUGUUUUUUUAUUUUUUAUUACUGACCUGACAGUAAUGGUUGUGUUCUUGAACUGAGCUAGGUAUUUGGGUUUGUCUUAAAACCAACCAAC